CUGCCACCGCUCAUGUCACGAUGACCCUAUCUACCACACACCUAGGCAGAGUGGCCUGUACUGAAAGGAUGUCGAGUGCUAAGAAGUGAGCAAUCUGUACUGACAGGAUGUCGGACGCUUAGGGGUAAUACCCCAAUUGAAUGGUGUCAUGUGGUCUAGGUUACUACAUCACAUUCCCUAUAAAUUGGAGUUCACAGUAGGUAGCAGGUCUCCUUAACUGGACAAUCGGCGUGCGGUCAACUGCGCUAGUAGUAGCCAUCAUCAGUGUACUAUUUUUUUAGCGGUCCAAUCAUCAAACAACAUCACAUACUGCUCAAGGCGACUCUCUUUUCGAUCGACCCUUUCUUUGUGGAUCUAUUUCUUGUUUCAUUUGUAGUUUUAAUUUCAUGCACUAUAUUUGUUGCUUUUGGGGUGAUCGUUGGGUAAUGGCCAAGUUGCUCAAAAAAGAAGAAGCAGCAUAGCAGUACAAAAA